UGCGGUCUCCCUUUUUAACCCCAACAUCACGUGCUGAUUGGAAUUAUUUUAUUCACCUAUGAAAUUUAAGCGUCAAUUUUGAAUUUUCUAAAGUUACUUUUUAUUGGUCAACUAUUCUCUUUUUAUGUUAUAGAUUUAUAUGAUUGACAUAUAUUUUAUUUAGUUAUGUAAAAGCAAUUAAAGGAUUAUCAAAAUCUUUACUUACUUUACAGAAUUAUUAAGUGGACAAUAGAAA
rnacentral:lncRNA from 1 species